AGAGUUUGAUCAUGGCUCAGAUUGAACGCUGGCGGCAGGCCUAACACAUGCAAGUCGAACGGUAACAGGAAGCAGCUUGCUGCUUUGCUGACGAGUGGCGGACGGGUGAGUAAUGUCUGGGAAACUGCCUGAUGGAGGGGGAUAACUACUGGAAACGGUGGCUAAUACCGCAUAACGUCGCAAGACCAAAGAGGGGGACCUUCGGGCCUCUUGCCAUCAGAUGUGCCCAGAUGGGAUUAGCUAGUUGGUGAGGUAACGGCUCACCAAGGCGACGAUCCCUAGCUGGUCUGAGAGGAUGACCAGCCACACUGGAACUGAGACACGGUCCAGACUCCUACGGGAGGCAGCAGUGGGGAAUAUUGCACAAUGGGCGCAAGCCUGAUGCAGCCAUGCCGCGUGUAUGAAGAAGGCCUUCGGGUUGUAAAGUACUUUCAGCGGGGAGGAAGGUGUUGUGGUUAAUAACCGCAGCAAUUGACGUUACCCGCAGAAGAAGCACCGGCUAACUCCGUGCCAGCAGCCGCGGUAAUACGGAGGGUGCAAGCGUUAAUCGGAAUUACUGGGCGUAAAGCGCACGCAGGCGGUCUGUCAAGUCGGAUGUGAAAUCCCCGGGCUCAACCUGGGAACUGCAUUCGAAACUGGCAGGCUUGAGUCUUGUAGAGGGGGGUAGAAUUCCAGGUGUAGCGGUGAAAUGCGUAGAGAUCUGGAGGAAUACCGGUGGCGAAGGCGGCCCCCUGGACAAAGACUGACGCUCAGGUGCGAAAGCGUGGGGAGCAAACAGGAUUAGAUACCCUGGUAGUCCACGCCGUAAACGAUGUCUACUUGGAGGUUGUGCCCUUGAGGCGUGGCUUCCGGAGCUAACGCGUUAAGUAGACCGCCUGGGGAGUACGGCCGCAAGGUUAAAACUCAAAUGAAUUGACGGGGGCCCGCACAAGCGGUGGAGCAUGUGGUUUAAUUCGAUGCAACGCGAAGAACCUUACCUGGUCUUGACAUCCACGGAAGUUUUCAGAGAUGAGAAUGUGCCUUCGGGAACCGUGAGACAGGUGCUGCAUGGCUGUCGUCAGCUCGUGUUGUGAAAUGUUGGGUUAAGUCCCGCAACGAGCGCAACCCUUAUCCUUUGUUGCCAGCGGUCCGGCCGGGAACUCAAAGGAGACUGCCAGUGAUAAACUGGAGGAAGGUGGGGAUGACGUCAAGUCAUCAUGGCCCUUACGACCAGGGCUACACACGUGCUACAAUGGCGCAUACAAAGAGAAGCGACCUCGCGAGAGCAAGCGGACCUCAUAAAGUGCGUCGUAGUCCGGAUUGGAGUCUGCAACUCGACUCCAUGAAGUCGGAAUCGCUAGUAAUCGUGGAUCAGAAUGCCACGGUGAAUACGUUCCCGGGCCUUGUACACACCGCCCGUCACACCAUGGGAGUGGGUUGCAAAAGAAGUAGGUAGCUUAACCUUCGGGAGGGCGCUUACCACUUUGUGAUUCAUGACUGGGGUGAAGUCGUAACAAGGUAACCGUAGGGGAACCUGCGGUUGGAUCACCU
rnacentral:rRNA from 2 species